GAUGAACGCUGGCGGCGUGCCUAAUACAUGCAAGUCGAGCGAACGGACGAGAAGCUUGCUUCUCUGAUGUUAGCGGCGGACGGGUGAGUAACACGUGGAUAACCUACCUAUAAGACUGGGAUAACUUCGGGAAACCGUAGCUAAUACCGGAUAAUAUUUUGAACCGCAUGGUUCAAAAGUGAAAGACGGUCUUGCUGUCACUUAUAGAUGGAUCCGCGCUGCAUUAGCUAGUUGGUAAGGUAACGGCUUACCAAGGCAACGAUGCAUAGCCGACCUGAGAGGGUGAUCGGCCACACUGGAACUGAGACACGGCCCAGACUCCUACGGGAGGCAGCAGUAGGGAAUCUUCCGCAAAGGGCGAAAGCCUGACGGAGCAACGCCGCGUGAGUGAUGAAGGUCUUCGGAUCGUAAAACUCUGUUAUUAGGGAAGAACAUAUGUGUAAGUAACUGUGCACAUCUUGACGGUACCUAAUCAGAAAGCCACGGCUAACUACGUG
rnacentral:rRNA from 1 species